UCAGAGUGUCCAGGUGGUUGAUUAAAAGUCUUUUCCACCUUGUUUCCCCCUGAAUUUGCCUUUUGUGGGGUGGAAGUCUGAGCUUUUGCCUUGCUUAAAUGUCUUCUCAUUUUUGUUUUUGGUACUGUCCUUGGUUUAGUUUCUGGGUUGAUACUUUGUUUUAUUUUGUUUUGUUUUUUGGUACCAGGGAUCAAACUUGGGACCUUGUGCUUGCGAGGCAGGUGACGGCACUGGGUUGAUACUUUGAAGUUGCUUAUUGGUUGAACUCUGCAAAGUUCUGUUGCAGGUUCCAGCUGCCUUUCCCCUGAAGAUAGUCCAGGUUCCGAUGCAAGAUGGUGAUCCCUCCAACUUACCAAUGAGAAUGACUGUCUGGAAUGGUGUCUGGGAACUUCUGAAAGCUCCCCAAGAGAGACCAACUCUCAGCCGAGGCUCAGGACCACGGCUCUGGGGAUAGUGUGUGCAUCCCACAGUAUGGAAAGCUGACAGAAGACAUGGAUUGUUGGUCUUAGAAGAUGGGGAAUGGAGCACUCAGGAGGCUGAAGCUGGAGGAUCGAUACAAGUUCGAGGCCAGCCUGGGCUACAUAGUGAAUUCAAGACCAGCCUGAACAACAUAGUGAGACCCUGUCCAAAAAAAAAAGAUGGGGAAAGUAGUUGGGAAUGAAUUAUUAAGCUGUGAUACACACACAUAUAUAUAUAUCAAUUCCCCAAAAUGACUGUAAUUUUUAUGUAUUACA
rnacentral:lncRNA from 1 species